AUGAAUAACCAACGGAAAAAGGCAAGACAAUUGCCUUUCAAUAUG
rfam:Dengue virus 2 isolate D2Sab2015, complete genome